AACGAACGCUGGCGGCAGGCUUAACACAUGCAAGUCGAACGGUUGUAGCAAUACAGCAGUGGCGCACGGGUGAGUAACGCGUGGGCAACCUGCCCCAGACUCUGGGAUAACCCCGGGAAACCGGAGCUAAUACCGGAUAUGACCACUUCGGACAUCCGAUGGUGGUGGAAAGUUUUUCGGUCUGGGAUGGGCCCGCGGCCUAUCAGCUAGUUGGUGGGGUAAUGGCCUACCAAGGCGACGACGGGUAGCCGGCCUGAGAGGGCGACCGGCCACACUGGAACUGAGACACGGUCCAGACUCCUACGGGAGGCAGCAGUGGGGAAUAUUGCACAAUGGGCGAAAGCCUGAUGCAGCGACGCCGCGUGAGGGGACGACGGGCCUUCGGGUUGGUUAAACCGUACCUUUCUAGCAGGGACGAAGCGAAAGUGACUGUACCUGCAAAGAAGACACCGGCUAACUACGUGCCAGCAGCCGCGGU
rnacentral:rRNA from 1 species